CUUCCUCUCAUUUCUGUCUUUAGGUUGUGCUGCUCUACGCCUCUACCUACGUCCUGGUGUCCCUCAGCAUAGACAGAUACCAUGCCAUCCAGGGUCCUCAUUGUGAUCGCCUGGAGCCUGUCUUUUCUGUUCUCCAUUCCCACCCUGAUCAUAUUUGGGAAGAGGACACUGUCCAACGGUGAAGUGCAGUGCUGGGCCCUGUGGCCUGACGACUCCUACUGGACCCCAUACAUGACCAUCGUGGCCUUCCUGGUGUACUUCAUCCCUUCAUCUGCUGUUGGAGUCCAUACUUCCUGUUUGACAUUUUGGACAAUUUCAACCUCCUUCCAGACACCCAGGAGCGUUUCUAUGCCUCUGUGAUCAUUCAGAACCUGCCAGCAUUG
rnacentral:lncRNA from 1 species